CUUUGCUGGUUUGGAGGCUCUCCUUUUAUAGCUGAAGAAUUCUAUCUAUCUAGGGUUUUGAAAUCCCUUUUUGAUUUGGUGUUUGACUCCUCUUUUGAUGUUGAAUUUAAUUGCAAUUGGAAUUCCUUGGAUGAGAAGCUCUUUCGUGGCUCUUGGUUUUAUGUUGGUAGUGAUUGGGUUGGAUUUGGACAUCUGAAAAUUCGGAUUUCUGUUUUCUGCCCAAUUUCCCGCUCUGCUGUCAGUUUCUGCUGUCAAAGUGAUUUGCCCGGUGAUUUGACCAGUUUCUUCAAGUGAUUGGGCAAAUCACUGACCCAAUCACUUUUCUGUGAGUCAGUCCAGUUUUCUGCUCUCUGUCUUCUGCGAGUGAUUUGGCCAGUGUCUUCGAGUGUCUUGGGCAAAUCACUGCCCAUAUCACUUCUGCCUGUUGCCUCCAGAUUUCUGCUGUCAAAGUGAU
rnacentral:lncRNA from 1 species